rnacentral:rRNA from 1 species
AUACGGAGGACGCGAGCGUUAUCCGGAUUCAUUGGGUUUAAAGGGUGCGCAGGCGGCCGUGCAAGUCAGCGGUGAAAGCCCGGGGCUCAACCCCGGAAGUGCCGUUGAUACUGCAUGGCUGGAAUGCGGUCGAGGCGGGCGGGACGGGGGGUGUGGCGGGGAAAUGCGUAGAUAUGCCACAGAAAGCCGAUAGCGGAGGCAGCUCGCCAGGCCUGCAUUGACGCUCGGGCACGAAAGCGUGGGGAUCGAACAGGAUUAGAUACCCUGGUAGUCCACGCCGUAAACGAUGGGCGCUCGUCGUCGGCGGCAGACAGUCGGCGGCCAAGCGAAAGCGAUAAGCGCCCCACCUGGGGAGUACGGUCGCAAGGCUGAAACUCAAAUGAAUUGGCGGGG